GCUCAGGAUGAACGCUAGCUACAGGCUUAACACAUGCAAGUCGAGGGGCAGCAUCAUCAAAGCUUGCUUUGAUGGAUGGCGACCGGCGCACGGGUGAGUAACACGUAUCCAACCUGCCGACAACACUGGGAUAGCCUUUCGAAAGAAAGAUUAAUACCGGAUGGCAUAAUUAUUCCGCAUGGGAUAAUUAUUAAAGAAUUUCGGUUGUCGAUGGGGAUGCGUUCCAUUAGGCAGUUGGCGGGGUAACGGCCCACCAAACCUACGAUGGAUAGGGGUUCUGAGAGGAAGGUCCCCCACAUUGGAACUGAGACACGGUCCAAACUCCUACGGGAGGCAGCAGUGAGGAAUAUUGGUCAAUGGACGAGAGUCUGAACCAGCCAAGUAGCGUGAAGGAUGACUGCCCUAUGGGUUGUAAACUUCUUUUAUACGGGAAUAAAGUGAGCCACGUGUGGCUUUUUGUAUGUACCGUAUGAAUAAGGAUCGGCUAACUCCGUGCCAGCAGCCGCGGUAAUACGGAGGAUCCGAGCGUUAUCCGGAUUUAUUGGGUUUAAAGGGAGCGUAGGCGGGUUGUUAAGUCAGUUGUGAAAGUUUGCGGCUCAACCGUAAAAUUGCAGUUGAUACUGGCGACCUUGAGUGCAACAGAGGUAGGCGGAAUUCGUGGUGUAGCGGUGAAAUGCUUAGAUAUCACGAAGAACUCCGAUUGCGAAGGCAGCUUACUGGAUUGUAACUGACGCUGAUGCUCGAAAGUGUGGGUAUCAAACAGGAUUAGAUACCCUGGUAGUCCACACAGUAAACGAUGAAUACUCGCUGUUGGCGAUAUACAGUCAGCGGCCAAGCGAAAGCAUUAAGUAUUCCACCUGGGGAGUACGCCGGCAACGGUGAAACUCAAAGGAAUUGACGGGGGCCCGCACAAGCGGAGGAACAUGUGGUUUAAUUCGAUGAUACGCGAGGAACCUUACCCGGGCUUAAAUUGCAACUGACGGAACCGGAAACGGUUCUUUCUUCGGACAGUUGUGAAGGUGCUGCAUGGUUGUCGUCAGCUCGUGCCGUGAGGUGUCGGCUUAAGUGCCAUAACGAGCGCAACCCUUACGGGUAGUUACCAUCAGGUUAUGCUGGGGACUCUACCCGGACUGCCGUCGUAAGAUGUGAGGAAGGUGGGGAUGACGUCAAAUCAGCACGGCCCUUACGUCCGGGGCUACACACGUGUUACAAUGGGGGGUACAGAAGGCAGCUACACGGCGACGUGGUGCUAAUCCCAAAAGCCUCUCUCAGUUCGGAUUGGAGUCUGCAACCCGACUCCAUGAAGCUGGAUUCGCUAGUAAUCGCGCAUCAGCCACGGCGCGGUGAAUACGUUCCCGGGCCUUGUACACACCGCCCGUCAAGCCAUGAAAGCCGGGGGUACCUGAAGUACGUAACCGCGAGGAGCGUCCUAGGGUAAAACUGGU
rnacentral:rRNA from 1 species